UUAAGCGACUAAGCGUACACGGUGGAUGCCCUGGCAGUCAGAGGCGAUGAAGGACGUGCUAAUCUGCGAUAAGCGUCGGUAAGGUGAUAUGAACCGUUAUAACCGGCGAUUUCCGAAUGGGGAAACCCAGUGUGUUUCGACACACUAUCAUUAACUGAAUCCAUAGGUUAAUGAGGCGAACCGGGGGAACUGAAACAUCUAAGUACCCCGAGGAAAAGAAAUCAACCGAGAUUCCCCCAGUAGCGGCGAGCGAACGGGGAGCAGCCCAGAGCCUGAAUCAGUGUGUGUGUUAGUGGAAGCGUCUGGAAAGGCGCGCGAUACAGGGUGACAGCCCCGUACACAAAAAUGCACAUACUGUGAGCUCGAUGAGUAGGGCGGGACACGUGGUAUCCUGUCUGAAUAUGGGGGGACCAUCCUCCAAGGCUAAAUACUCCUGACUGACCGAUAGUGAACCAGUACCGUGAGGGAAAGGCGAAAAGAACCCCGGCGAGGGGAGUGAAAAAGAACCUGAAACCGUGUACGUACAAGCAGUGGGAGCACAGAGCAAUCUGUGUGACUGCGUACCUUUUGUAUAAUGGGUCAGCGACUUAUAUUCUGUAGCAAGGUUAACCGAAUAGGGGAGCCGAAGGGAAACCGAGUCUUAACUGGGCGUUAAGUUGCAGGGUAUAGACCCGAAACCCGGUGAUCUAGCCAUGGGCAGGUUGAAGGUUGGGUAACACUAACUGGAGGACCGAACCGACUAAUGUUGAAAAAUUAGCGGAUGACUUGUGGCUGGGGGUGAAAGGCCAAUCAAACCGGGAGAUAGCUGGUUCUCCCCGAAAGCUAUUUAGGUAGCGCCUCGUGAAUUCAUCUCCGGGGGUAGAGCACUGUUUCGGCAAGGGGGUCAUCCCGACUUACCAACCCGAUGCAAACUGCGAAUACCGGAGAAUGUUAUCACGGGAGACACACGGCGGGUGCUAACGUCCGUCGUGAAGAGGGAAACAACCCAGACCGCCAGCUAAGGUCCCAAAGUCAUGGUUAAGUGGGAAACGAUGUGGGAAGGCCCAGACAGCCAGGAUGUUGGCUUAGAAGCAGCCAUCAUUUAAAGAAAGCGUAAUAGCUCACUGGUCGAGUCGGCCUGCGCGGAAGAUGUAACGGGGCUAAACCAUGCACCGAAGCUGCGGCAGCGACGCUUAUGCGUUGUUGGGUAGGGGAGCGUUCUGUAAGCCUGCGAAGGUGUACUGUGAGGUAUGCUGGAGGUAUCAGAAGUGCGAAUGCUGACAUAAGUAACGAUAAAGCGGGUGAAAAGCCCGCUCGCCGGAAGACCAAGGGUUCCUGUCCAACGUUAAUCGGGGCAGGGUGAGUCGACCCCUAAGGCGAGGCCGAAAGGCGUAGUCGAUGGGAAACAGGUUAAUAUUCCUGUACUUGGUGUUACUGCGAAGGGGGGACGGAGAAGGCUAUGUUGGCCGGGCGACGGUUGUCCCGGUUUAAGCGUGUAGGCUGGUUUUCCAGGCAAAUCCGGAAAAUCAAGGCUGAGGCGUGAUGACGAGGCACUACGGUGCUGAAGCAACAAAUGCCCUGCUUCCAGGAAAAGCCUCUAAGCAUCAGGUAACAUCAAAUCGUACCCCAAACCGACACAGGUGGUCAGGUAGAGAAUACCAAGGCGCUUGAGAGAACUCGGGUGAAGGAACUAGGCAAAAUGGUGCCGUAACUUCGGGAGAAGGCACGCUGAUAUGUAGGUGAAGUCCCUCGCGGAUGGAGCUGAAAUCAGUCGAAGAUACCAGCUGGCUGCAACUGUUUAUUAAAAACACAGCACUGUGCAAACACGAAAGUGGACGUAUACGGUGUGACGCCUGCCCGGUGCCGGAAGGUUAAUUGAUGGGGUUAGCGCAAGCGAAGCUCUUGAUCGAAGCCCCGGUAAACGGCGGCCGUAACUAUAACGGUCCUAAGGUAGCGAAAUUCCUUGUCGGGUAAGUUCCGACCUGCACGAAUGGCGUAAUGAUGGCCAGGCUGUCUCCACCCGAGACUCAGUGAAAUUGAACUCGCUGUGAAGAUGCAGUGUACCCGCGGCAAGACGGAAAGACCCCGUGAACCUUUACUAUAGCUUGACACUGAACAUUGAGCCUUGAUGUGUAGGAUAGGUGGGAGGCUUUGAAGUGUGGACGCCAGUCUGCAUGGAGCCGACCUUGAAAUACCACCCUUUAAUGUUUGAUGUUCUAACGUUGACCCGUAAUCCGGGUUGCGGACAGUGUCUGGUGGGUAGUUUGACUGGGGCGGUCUCCUCCUAAAGAGUAACGGAGGAGCACGAAGGUUGGCUAAUCCUGGUCGGACAUCAGGAGGUUAGUGCAAUGGCAUAAGCCAGCUUGACUGCGAGCGUGACGGCGCGAGCAGGUGCGAAAGCAGGUCAUAGUGAUCCGGUGGUUCUGAAUGGAAGGGCCAUCGCUCAACGGAUAAAAGGUACUCCGGGGAUAACAGGCUGAUACCGCCCAAGAGUUCAUAUCGACGGCGGUGUUUGGCACCUCGAUGUCGGCUCAUCACAUCCUGGGGCUGAAGUAGGUCCCAAGGGUAUGGCUGUUCGCCAUUUAAAGUGGUACGCGAGCUGGGUUUAGAACGUCGUGAGACAGUUCGGUCCCUAUCUGCCGUGGGCGCUGGAGAAUUGAGGGGGGCUGCUCCUAGUACGAGAGGACCGGAGUGGACGCAUCACUGGUGUUCGGGUUGUCAUGCCAAUGGCACUGCCCGGUAGCUAAAUGCGGAAGAGAUAAGUGCUGAAAGCAUCUAAGCACGAAACUUGCCCCGAGAUGAGUUCUCCCUGACUCCUUGAGAGUCCUGAAGGAACGUUGAAGACGACGACGUUGAUAGGCCGGAUGUGUAAGCGCAGCGAUGCGUUGAGCUAACCGGUACUAAUGAACCGUGAGGCUUAACCUU
rnacentral:rRNA from 1 species